rnacentral:lncRNA from 1 species
CCAGAGUUGUGUUGGUUCUUCCAGGACCUGACCAGUGACAUUUAUUCAGUGAUCACAAAGCAACUUAAAAGCUCAACAUUGUUUGGGUGUGACAGAUGAGCUGUGCUAAAUAAAGCCUGAUUUUUGUCACAUGCAGGGCAGUCUAGGACAUGGGCUGUGGGAGAUGUUGAGUGAAAUGUAUAACCUGGGGGAAAAAAACAUCCAGUAGGGACUCAUGGAAGGGGAAUAUCCUGGACAGUCAGGAGAAGUGUCAGGAGCAAUAGGAACGUGUGGCACUCUGAGCAAUGAUGAGCAGAAAUUUGGGGCACAAGAGGCAAACAUCUGUUGCAGACUGUCCUGGAGACUUUUAAAAUGGAAGUUGCAAAAUUUUAGGGUUUGGAAAAAAAAAUCCUAAAAUGCUUCAGAGGUUUCAGAAUGUGUCUUCAAGUGAAAAACAUAUGAAUUCAAUCCACUUAGUGUAUAAAAAGAAGACUGAAAUGUUGACUGAAAGAACAUGAAUUCUGCUAAUGGUAACAAAGAUCAGUUGACAGCUCUUUUUUUUAAUGGAAUGGGACCCAACCCACACCAGAUUCAGGUGUGAUGGAUCUCCAGGUGCUCUCCAGGUCAGCAGUACUUGUUGAGUGUCUUUUACCAAUUGUCUUUACAAAUCUCAUGAUAUUCUGGUCUUUACCUGAAGCAGUAAAUAGCAAUCAGGUGUUGGUCUAAUAGAAAUAUUUACCCAAGGUUAGCCAAGUCUGUUGAUGCAGAAUGUCUACAGUGCCUGCUAGUCUGCUCUAUUUGUCCAGUUUGGACUGGAAUUUUCCUUUUUCAGCAGCUUAGAUCCUCUGCAGCAUUCAGAGAUUAAUUUUCAUGCCCUCCCAGCCUCUGACCAGGUGUUACCUUGCUCCUCUUGAUUGAAAUCCUGCCUGGGUUGAGCUCAGUGCAUCUCCCACCCUCUGUGGAGUUACCUGCUGUUUCUACAUUUGAAGCUCAUCAGUUUGCUCCAGUUCAGUGGCCUCUGUGGGUGAGCAUCUACAGCAGAGGCCUUUGUUGUGAUAUCCAGGCAUCUCCUCUUGCCAGCCAUGGAGUGUUUGGGUUAGAAGCAAUCCUGGCUACUGGAAAUGAGUGUGAGCUGGAAUGCUUCCAGGAAAGAUCCUUCACAUCCUGCAUUGUGCCCUGUCUGGAAGGAAGCAUUUUGUGUGAAGACCUCAAAAUUUAUCAGGAUCCAGAUGGAAUUUGGGGAAGGAAGGUUCCAUGGAGAAGAACAAAAGGAUGGCUGAAUAAUUCAAAGUGAAGCUCUAGCGGUGGGUCUGUCUCCAGCUCUGCCAUUUUUCACCAUGCUGUGUAUAAAUGACUGUCUGCUCAGCCCUAGUCUUAGAUGUUGACCUUCCUGUACUGACAAAGAGAUUCCUUACUCCUCUGACAGUAACCUUUUCAAUGUGAUCGCUUCUGUGCCAUACAGUAUUAAUGGAGCCACAAUGAAUAAUAAAUGCUUUUCAACACAGCCUGCUUGUUUCA